rnacentral:rRNA from 1 species
GAUGAACGCUGGCGGCGUGCCUAAUACAUGCAAGUCGAGCGAACAGACGAGAAGCUUGCUCCUCUGACGUUAGCGGCGGACGGGUGGGUAACACGUGGAUAACCUACCUCUAAGACUGGGGUAACUUCGGGAAACCGGAGCUAAUACCGGAUAAUAUAUUGAACCGCAUGGUUCAAUAGUGAAACACGGUUUUGCUGUCACUUAUAGAUGAAUUCGCGUCGCAUUAGCUAGUUGGUAAGGUAACGGCCUACCAAGGCAACGAUGCGUAGCCGACCUGAGAGGGUGAUCGGCCACACUGGAACUGAGACACGGUCCAGACUCCUACGGGAGGCAGCAGUAGGGAAUCUUCCGCAAUGGGCGAAAGCCUGACGUAGCAAUACCGCGUGAGUGAAGAAGGUCUUCGGCUUGUAAAACUCUGUUAUUAGGAAAGAAAAAAUGUGUAAGUAACUAUGCAUGUUUUGACGGUACCUAAUGAGAAAGCCACGGCUAACUACGUG